rnacentral:tRNA from 1 species
GGAUUAGUUCAGUUGGUAGAACACCAGACUCCAAAUCUGGGUGUCGUGAGUUCGAGUCUUGCAUCC